rnacentral:rRNA from 1 species
CAGUCGCCGCGGUAAAACGGAGGGGGCUAGCGUUGUUCGGAAUUACUGGGCGUAAAGCGCACGUAGGCGGCUUGGUAAGUUAGAGGUGAAAGCCCAGGGCUCAACCCUGGAAUUGCCUUUAAGACUGCCGAGCUAGUAGGUGAGAGGGGUGAGUGGAAUUCCGAGUGUAGAGGUGAAAUUCGUAGAUAUUCGGAAGAACACCAGUGGCGAAGGCGGCUCACUGGCUCAUUCUAGACGCUGAGGUGCGAAAGCGUGGGGAGCAAACGGGAUUAGAUACCCCAGUAGUCCCUGUCUCUUAUAC